UAACAUCUCUCUUUUGUCUUUCACAAUCUUUCACAUCAAUGAUUUCUCUCUUGGAUUUUUUAUUAAUUACAUAAAAUCGAAGUUAUCAUCUCCCGCAUAGCAAACAACAAGUCGAAUCCAUUAACCAGUCGUUAGCAUCUUGAGUUGUUGAACACAUUUACCUCUUGUUCUCUUUCAUUUUCGAGUCAAAGACAAGGUAAAGAUGUAAUCUUGGCUCUUGUGCUUUUUCUGGUGAAUAUUGAAAAUGCUAUGUGGAACAAUUAGGGAUUUAUAUGAUAUGUUAAAUUGUUUGUGCUAUGUGAAAUAAUUAGGAUUUUAUGAAUUUUGAAUGGAAAAAUGGUGUUUAUAUGAUGAAAAACUGUUGUUAAGGAGUGAUUAAUGAAUUGGAAGCACUAAAUUGGCAAGAAAAGCAUAAGAAAAUAAUGGAUUAUAGUGAGAGAGGGGUGUGGUUUUGGAAUUUAGAAAGAGAAGAUGAAGAAAUGAAAGAAGAAGAUGAUGAAAAUCAAGGGAACCAACUUGCCAGAUGGGUCAAAGCAGCUAACCUUUUAGCCUUUGCCUUCUGGGUGGUUAGCUGCUUGGUUGACGUGACUAACCGCUUUGAAGGCAGAAACCAAGCAGUUAGCCGCUUAAGCUGAUAUGGCUAGUUAGUUCCCCUAAUUUUCAUCACCAUUUCCCCUGAAUUUUGCACAUUAUCAUUGUCACUGCUGUUAUUUGCUAUUGUCUUUUUUUUUUUUGUUAAUGAUUAAAUUGACAUUAAAUUUAUAUGUUAUCUAUGCCAGGACUUGAAUAAUAGAAUCCAUUUAUAACAUGGAUACUAAAGAUGAUACAAGUGCAGUUAUUGGUCAGAGAGCAUGGGUACACUUUGUAUGUAUAAAUUAAUUGAUUUCUUUUAAGUUGUUAUGUUAGCAAUUAUUUUUGUUUGUGUUAUUGAAGUAAUAGUGAAUGUUGAUUACAGUAAAUAUAAAGCAAAGAGGCCAAGGAAACAAGCAGUUCGAAAGAUUUGUAGAGCGACAAUUGCUGAAAAAUAGAACAAAUUAACAAAUGAGGAGAAGCGUCAAUUUCAAACGAUGCUUGAGGACCCUAUUUCAGAUGUUGCUAAAAGAGUGGUAUAAAAAUUGAUAAAAGCUAGAAAAAUAAAGAUAACGAUGACCAAUUUCUUUAAUUUUGCAGUCAUGUGAGCACAUUCAUUAAGUUUAUUUCUGCUUUCUCACCUGAGCAACAAAAUUCAAUUAAAGAAUGCUGUAAUUUUUUUUACAGCAUCAAUAAUAUUUUUAAUUAUGC
rnacentral:lncRNA from 1 species